AGUCCCGGGCGCCAUCUUGGGACUGCCGCCACACCCGCUCCCCACGUCCUUUGUGACUCUAUAGCUCAGAAUGGCUCCCUACAAUUCUCAUUAAAGCCGGGUAUAGUAGAUGCCUGGAAUUCCGGCCCCAGUCUCUCCGCUACUCUGGGAGGCUGAGGCAGGAGAAUUAUCAGAAAUUUGAAGCCAUAGUGGCACACAUUAAAAGACCAUGUCCGACUGGUGGAGUGGUUCACAAAUACCACUUCGUUAAAUGAGUGCUCUUCAUGCAUAGCCUUCCUCAUUAGGGUGGAUGCUGCAAGCGAUGCUUUGGUACCCAAGAUCGGGGCUGUUGUUCAACUCCGCUGUGUAAAUCCAAUAGCAUGUUCCAGUCUCCGCACAUAGUGCCACGCUGACACUGAGACACAGAGUGCCUAGCCAUGGUACUAACUAUGGCAGAGUACGCCAGGAGGCUCACAUGUUACCUCUUCUGAACACUGAAACCCUGGAGACCAACACCAGCUGAGCUCGCUCGCUAACAGUUCCCGAGAGCGUGCUUGCACUGGGAAAUCCCUCCAACCACGUGACAAGCCCAAAGACAAGCCAGUGUGAAGACAGGAAGGGAAGUUUCUCAUCUGGAAAACAGGAAGAGAUGGGGCUCAUCGAGGCUCAGGAGGCAGAAUCGAAACGAAAGAGGAAUCCUACUCAACUACUCUAUUUCGACCAGUAAAACGUGCAAUGGUUCCAUCCCAGUGGGAGCCACUGGUGCUCCAGAAAUUCUCUUCUGGAAGAGCCGUUCUUGUUCCUGCCCGCCUCCAUGUUAGAGGUCCUAGAGGUCUGCUAGAGAAGAGACGUGAAGUGAACAAAACCACAGACACAGUGAAGCCGUUGCUACUUUGAGACGUCAAAUUUGGUGACUGUUGGUUUCUCGGUGGCGUGUCGUCAAAAUCAGAACAGCUCAGCAGCUGUGGGAGAACACCGUCUUUAUAAAUCUAUCCUUUCUCUGUAACCUAGUCCAUAACUGGUGCUCCCUGGGUUCGGUGAGCACUUUAACUUUAAGAAUUAGAAUCUCCAUUCAGCUCUGUAAUAGAAGUUACGAUGUGGAAACCAGCUACGUUACUUUAGGAAUUCCAUAUUUCAAAAAUCAGUAAAAUGAUUACGUUUCAAUUUAAAA